rnacentral:rRNA from 1 species
AGAGCGAACGUUAGCGGCGGGCCUAACACACGCAAGUCGAACGAGAACGCUCCUUCGGGAGUUAUUAAAGUGGCGCACGGGUGAGGAACGCGUAGGUAAUCUACCCUUUGGCGGGGGACAACAUUCCGAAAGGAAUGCUAAUACCGCGUAAGACCACAUUCACUACGGUGAGAGCGGUUAAAGGUGCCUCAAAGCACCACCAAAGGAUGAGCCUGCGUCCCAUCAGCUUGUUGGUAAGGUAAUGGCUUACCAAGGCGAAGACGGGUAGCUGGUCUGAGAGGAUGAUCAGCCACACUGGCACUGGAACACGGGCCAGACUCCUACGGGAGGCAGCAGCGAGGAAUAUUGGGCAAUGGGCGAAAGCCUGACCCAGCCACGCCGCGUGUGUGAUGAAGGCCUUCGGGUCGUAAAGCACUGUGGGGAGAGACGAAAAAGCGCAUGAGGAAAUGCUUGCGCCUUGACGGUACCUCCUUAGCAAGCACCGGCUAACUCUGUGCCAGCAGCCGCGGUAAUACAGAGGGUGCGAACGUUGCUCGGAUUUACUGGGCGUAAAGCGCGUGUAGGCGGACUCGCAAGUCGGUUGUGAAAUCCCUGGGCUCAACCUAGGAACUGCAUCCGAAACUGCUUGUCUUGAGUAAUGGAGAGGGUGGCGGAAUUCCCGGUGUAGAGGUGAAAUUCGUAGAUAUCGGGAGGAACAUCAGUGGCGAAGGCGGCCACCUGGACAUUUACUGACGCUGAGACGCGAAAGCGUGGGGAGCAAACAGGAUUAGAUACCCUGGUAGUCCACGCCGUAAACGAUGAGAACUAGGUGCAGCGGAUAUUGACCUCUGCUGUGCCGUAGCUAACGCGUUAAGUUCUCCGCCUGGGGAGUACGGCCGCAAGGCUA